GAGCGAGGCAGCAAGAUGGACGCGGGAUUCUUCCGCGGGACAAGUGCAGAACAGGACAAUCGGUUUAGCAACAAACAGAAGAAACUACUGAAACAACUGAAAUUUGCAGAAUGUCUAGAGAAAAAGGUGGACAUGAGCAAAGUAAAUUUGGAGGUUAUAAAGCCUUGGAUAACAAAACGAGUAACGGAAAUCCUUGGGUUUGAAGAUGAUGUUGUGAUUGAGUUUAUAUUCAACCAGCUGGAAGUGAAGAAUCCAGAUUCCAAAAUGAUGCAAAUCAACCUGACUGGGUUUUUGAAUGGAAAAAAUGCUAGAGAAUUUAUGGGAGAACUGUGGCCUCUGCUGUUAAGUGCACAAGAAAACAUCGCUGGAAUCCCUUCUGCUUUCCUAGAACUGAAGAAAGAAGAAAUAAAACAGAGACAAAUUGAACAGGAAAAAUUGGCAUCGAUGAAAAAGCAAGAUGAAGACAAAGAUAAGAGGGAUAAAGAGGAAAAAGAGAGCAGCAGAGAAAAAAGGGAGAGGUCUCGAAGCCCAAGAAGACGCAAAUCCAGAUCUCCUUCCCCUAGAAGACGAUCUUCCCCUGUCAGGAGAGAGAGAAAGCGCAGUCAUUCUCGAUCUCCCCGUCACAGAACCAAGAGCCGGAGUCCUUCCCCUGCUCCAGAAAAGAAGGAGAAAAGUCCAGAGCUUCCAGAACCUUCAGUGAAAAUAAAAGAACCUUCAGUACAAGAGGCCACAUCUACUAGUGACAUCCUGAAAGCUCCCAAGCCUGAACCUAUACCAGAGCCUAAAGAACUUACAGCAGUAAGGUAA